UACGUAGGGACCAAGCGUUGUCCGGAAUCAUUGGGCGUAAAGAGCGUGUAGGCGGCUUGUUAAGUCUUGCGUGAAAUCUCGGGGCUCAACCCCGAGCGGUCGUGAGAAACUGGCAGGCUAGAGUGCGGGAGAGGAGAGUGGAAUUCCUGGUGUAGCGGUGAAAUGCGCAGAUAUCAGGAAGAACACCGGUGGCGAAGGCGGGUCUCUGGGCCGAUACUGACGCUGAGGAGCGAAAGCGUGGGGAGCAAACAGG
rnacentral:rRNA from 1 species